rnacentral:tRNA from 2 species
GAGAGCGUGGUGUAAUUGGAUAACACGUCAGGCUACGAACCUGAAGACGUGGGGGUUCAAAUCCCUCCGCUCUCG